GCAAAUGGAUGUUGUCAUCUGAAGAGAAGGUUGUCCUGGGCCCAUGUUUAGAGGCAUUUGGGGCAUAUCAGACACAUAUCAGAAUCAAGCUGCAUGCACACUUGAGUUUAUUCAGAGAGAAGUUGUGGGCAUCAGUCUGGAAACUGGAUCAAAAAUUUGCUGCUGGAACGUGUGACAAAUAAAGGCAUGGAAUGAACCCAAAUGUAUGAACACUGCUACGAAAACUAAUGGACUUUGAAUGGCUUACCAGUUAAUUCCAGUGGAAUUGAAGAAGAGACUCUGACAAGAUUUUCAAGUUUGUGGUUAAUUUAAAACAUUAUCUUCAUAGAAAAGCAAUUUAAAGGUAGGCACAGUUAAAACUAUUUCUUGUGUGUUUGUUUAAACUGUAAAUUUAUGACUGAAGUUUGGUCACUAUGUAGUAAUGUGUUCCUUUGUGGUUAAUUAAAUGCUGCAGUGCUUUGUGGUAUUCAUUGUUGUAUUUCCAAGGCUAAAGCCUUAUUUUGUGAUCUGCAUUGUAUUGGAGAGUUUUGGAAACUAAUACUUAUUAUCUUAAUGCAUUGGAAAGUUUUGGACUAUUGUACAAUAAAUGCAUUUGGCUACA